rnacentral:rRNA from 1 species
ACGUAGGGGGCGAGCGUUGUCCGGAAUUACUGGGCGUAAAGGGUGCGUAGGCGGCAUGUUAAGUUGGAUGUGAAAUACCCGGGCUCAACCUGGGGGGUGCAUCCAAAACUGGCAAGCUAGAGUGCAGGAGAGGAAAGCGGAAUUCCUAGUGUAGCGGUGAAAUGCGUAGAUAUUAGGAGGAACACCAGUGGCGAAGGCGGCUUUCUGGACUGCAACUGACGCUGAUGCACGAAAGCGUGGGGAGCAAACAG